GGAGCCUUGGCCUUGGCACAGACAUGUGCUGUUCUCCUUCCUUGGAUGCCAGUCCGGAUCAUAUCUCUCCUGCAGACUUGCCUUGAUUGUUGACUUGGGGAUCCUCAAGCUCUCAGCUCACUUAGUUCUCUAAGGACAUGGCUUCCCUCAUCAGCAGAUCCAGAGCCCUCACACCAGAUGCUCUUAUUUACCUGUGAGUGGGACCAAGCCAACAACCUUAAUCCUGACUCAGAGGUGAGAAUAAACUUAAAGCUCAGAGCA
rnacentral:lncRNA from 1 species